rfam:Salmo salar isolate Sally breed double haploid chromosome ssa16, whole genome shotgun sequence.
UGCACUCACUACUGUAAGUCGCUCUGGAUAAGAGCGUCUGCUAAAUGACAUAAA